GGUGAGAUGGCCGAGCGGUCUAAGGCGCCAGACUAAGGAGACCAGGACAUCCACUGUCCACCCCCGUUGUCCCUCGUUCUGCGAGGCGGCUAUCUGGUCCGAAAGGGCGUGGGUUCGAAUCCCACUCUCAUCA
rnacentral:tRNA from 1 species